rnacentral:rRNA from 1 species
AAGGGUAGACCUCCCCCCUUGUGUAUUAUUACUUUGUUGCUUUGGCGAGCUGCCUUCGGGCCUUGUAUGCUCGCCAGAGAAAACCAAAACUCUUUUUAUUAAUGUCGUCUGAGUACUAUAUAAUAGUUAAAACUUUCAACAACGGAUCUCUUGGUUCUGGCAUCGAUGAAGAACGCAGCGAAAUGCGAUAAGUAAUGUGAAUUGCAGAAUUCAGUGAAUCAUCCAAUCUUUGAACGCACAUUGCGCCCCUUGGUAUUCCGGGGGGCAUGCCUGUUCGAGCGUCAUUUCAACCCUCAAGCUUAGCUUGGUAUUGAGUCUAUGUCAGUAAUGGCAGGCUCUAAAAUCAGUGGCGGCGCCGCUGGGUCCUGAACGUAGUAAUAUCUCUCGUUACAGGUUCUCGGUGUGCUUCUGCCAAAACCCAAAUUUUUCUAUGGUUGACCUCGGAUCAGGUAGGGAUACCCGCUGAACUUAAGCAUAUCAAUAAGCGGAGGAAAAGAAAA